rnacentral:sRNA from 1 species
UGACAGGGGUAGGGACGGGGAAUUGUCUCAGGGGAAAGGCCCUGUAGGGUGUACUCUGUACCCAUAGUAAUGGGGGACUAGAGUCAUUCCCACUCCCAUCCCACUGUCACUAGAUUUAAGAGCUUGUGACUCUCCAAGGCAAGGCAUGUCCUCAAGUUGAUGAAGCUGUGGCCUGAGACACCAGUCACCACAAGUGCUGGCCACCAACAAAAACAUAGUGAAAGUUUCCUAUCUCCAAAUCCCAGAAGUCUGGCCCUAAUCCCAACGUCCUCCCUAUCCUACACUAGGCCCCACUACCCCUCAGUGUCUAUUACAAGAUCACUAGAGACCCCAGACUUCGGUUUCUAGGAAGUUACUGGUUCAUAUGAAGAAAGAGGGGGCUGGUCACAAGCAUGCAGUGGACCUCUCAGAAGGCAAAAUACUGAGCCUCAUGCAAAGCAUCCCUUCCCCCACCCCUCCAUUGUGCCUGCAACCCCAUGAGCUCACAGUGCCACCUUUGGACAGCAUGGCCACAGUGGGUAUCUCCCCCAGGCAAAGGGGAGGAAGAAGGCUGAACCACAGGCCAUAGUCAGAGUCAGCACGGGAGCUUGACCACCUCGCCCAUUCCUGAUGUCAACACUGAGUUUGAGACCAGCCUCUGCUACACAAGAGCCUUCCUCAAACAGACAAGAUGAGAGCUGAAGUUUGGAUUCCCAGCAGCGUGUAAAAAUGUGGUGGAUCUGUAACCUCAGUGCUGGCAGGCAGAGGAAGCCUUUGCUGAUGAACCAAGAGGCUGAGGAGAUAAAGACAUCUUUCAAAGUUCUGGAGCCACUUAAGUAAUAAAGUCAUUUCUGACUAAAAGCAUGUUGGUUUCUUUCUAUUCCACCAUAUUGCCAGUACAAUAACCAACACGUCAGCAGCCCUAGUUACCACAGGGCAGCUCAGUUCCGUUCCUUUGAAACCCUACAAGCCAGGUGAUAGUCACCAGGUGUUCUGUACUGUCAGGCCUGCACCCUGCACACGGGAGCAUAGGCAGCCCUGUCAAUCGAAAGGACACAUCCAAGUCUUACUGGACAAUAGGCAGCAUCCGUCACCAAAGACAGACAGAAAAUACAGACAGCUAAAGAGAAU